UACGAAGGGUGCAAGCGUUACUCGGAAUUACUGGGCGUAAAGGGUUCGUAGGCGGUGUGGCAAGUCGGGUGUGAAAUCUCUGGGCUUAACUCAGAGGCUGCUUCCGAAACUGCCGUGCUAGAGUGCGGGAGAGGCGAGUGGAAUUGCAGGUGUAGCGGUGAAAUGCGUAGAUAUCUGCAGGAACACCCGUGGCGAAGGCGGCUCGCUGGACCGCAACUGACGCUGAGGAACGAAAGCUAGGGGAGCAAACAGG
rnacentral:rRNA from 1 species